CGGCGUGCCUAAUACAUGCAAGUCGAGCGAGCGGAACUAACAGAUUUACUUCGGUAAUGACGUUAGGAAAGCGAGCGGCGGAUGGGUGAGUAACACGUGGGGAACCUGCCCCAUAGUCUGGGAUACCACUUGGAAACAGGUGCUAAUACCGGAUAAGAAAGCAGAUCGCAUGAUCAGCUUUUAAAAGGCGGCGUAAGCUGUCGCUAUGGGAUGGCCCCGCGGUGCAUUAGCUAGUUGGUAAGGUAAAGGCUUACCAAGGCGAUGAUGCAUAGCCGAGUUGAGAGACUGAUCGGCCACAUUGGGACUGAGACACGGCCCAAACUCCUACGGGAGGCAGCAGUAGGGAAUCUUCCACAAUGGACGCAAGUCUGAUGGAGCAACGCCGCGUGAGUGAAGAAGGUUUUCGGAUCGUAAAGCUCUGUUGUUGGUGAAGAAGGAUAGAGGUAGUAACUGGCCUUUAUUUGACGGUAAUCAACCAGAAAGUCACGGCUAACUACGUGCCAGCAGCCGCGGUAAUACGUAGGUGGCAAGCGUUGUCCGGAUUUAUUGGGCGUAAAGCGAGCGCAGGCGGAAGAAUAAGUCUGAUGUGAAAGCCCUCGGCUUAACCGAGGAACUGCAUCGGAAACUGUUUUUCUUGAGUGCAGAAGAGGAGAGUGGAACUCCAUGUGUAGCGGUGG
rnacentral:rRNA from 1 species